rnacentral:rRNA from 1 species
UACAGAGGUCUCAAGCGUUGUUCGGAUUCAUUGGGCGUAAAGGGUGCGUAGGCGGCGCGGUAAGUCUGCUCUGAAAGCCCGGGGCUCAACCCCGGGAGGCGGGUGGAUACUGUCAAGCUCGAGUCCGGAAGAGGAGUGUGGAAUUCCUGGUGUAGCGGUGAAAUGCGCAGAUAUCAGGAGGAACACCAAUGGCGAAGGCAGCACUCUGGGACGGUACUGACGCUGAGACGCGAAAGCGUGGGGAGCGAACAGG